rnacentral:rRNA from 1 species
CCUACGGUUGGCUGCAGUGAGGAAUAUUGGUCAAUGGGCUUAAGCCUGAACCAGCCAAGUCGCGUGAGGGAAGACUGCCCUCUGGGUUGUAAACUUCUUUUGUCAGGGAGCAACACCUUCCAAGUGUUGCCGGAAUGAGAGUACCUGAAGAAAUACCAUCCGCUACCUCCGUGCAAGCAGCAGCAGUACUACGGAGGUUGCGAGCGUUAUCCUGUUUCAUUGGGUGUAAAGGGGGCUUAGACGGAAUGCCAAGUCAGCGGUAAAAUCGCGAGGCUCAACCUCGCUCCGCCGUUGAUACUGGCGUUCUUGUGUGGGCGAGAAGUAUGCGGAAUGCGUGGUGUAGCGGUGAAAUGCAUAGAUAUCACGCAGAACUCCGGUUGCGAAGGCAGCAUACCGGCGCCCAACUGACGCUGAAGCACGAAAGCGUGGGUAUCGAACAGGAUUAGAUACCCGAGUAGUC